rnacentral:rRNA from 1 species
ACACGGGGGUUGCAAGCGUUGUCCGGAAUUACUAGGCGUAAAGUGCAGGUAGGCGGAUAGGUAAGUUUAAGGUUAAAGGCUACGGCUUACCCGUAGUAAGGCGUUAGAUACUGUUUAUCUGGAAUGCGGUUGAGGGAGACAGAAUUCCUGGUGUAGCGGUGGAAUGCGCAGAGAUCAGGAGGAAUACCGAAGGCGAAGGCAGUCUUCUAAGCCGAUAUUGACGCUAAACUGCGAAGGUGUGGGGAUCAAACAGGAUUAGAUACCCUGGUAGUCCACGCCGUAAACGAUGGAUACUAGGUGUGGGAGGUAUCGACCCAUUCCGUGCCGCAGCUAACGCAAUAAGUAUCCCGCCUGGUGAGUACGGUCGCAAGGCUGAA